rnacentral:lncRNA from 1 species
ACGCGCGAACGAGGCGGUGAGCGCCCAAUCUGGACUCCCCCUGCACUCUGUAAUUCCGGCCCUGGAGGCCUCCAGACCCGAAGAGAUCCUAAAAUCUUAGCCUCAGGGAUCCACCACUCCCUUGGCCUCAGAUUCUAGCUCCCAGAUCUGUCCGGCCUAGUUAUCCUGCCCCGGGGACUCUUCCACCCUUCCUCUCAGGAUCUAAAAUAGGAGCCCAUGGAGAGGUACCCAGUAAAGUCAGCCCUGGGUGCAGCCUCUGGGACCACGAUCCGUCCUCUCAAUUCUAACAGGAACUCCGUUAUCCCAGGCCCCGGGGCUCAACACUUAAAAUCUUAGACCUGAACCCACAGACCCAGCAAUGAGUGCAGUCUCACUGCUGGUUGCACCUAAAUCUGUAAACCCACAUUCUGGAUUUCCUAAACUCUGUUUCAGGGGCCUCCAGGCGGAGAAUUUCUAACCCACGAUUCUGACCCGCCUCAAACCUCUAGGGCUCUGGAUCUCAGAUUCGAGCGCUAGCUUGGGACGCCCCCACCUUGAGAAUCCCACUUGACCUGGCCAGUGCCUGGUACUUCAUGAUGCCUAUGCGUAGACUCAG